GACAAUAAGUAUUGUAAAGGCUUAGAAUUUUGGAAAGAAAGAGGCUAGUUAAGGAAUUUAUAUCCUGUGUAUUAUUUAAUUCAGAUUCCCAGUUUAUAUUGAGGAGAGCAUUUGUGAGAUUGUCUAUUGAUACUUCACUAUUUAACCUAAAGGUAAUUUUCUUGUUAGCUGGUGGUGUUAUGGCCAUGUUCGCUACAAGGAAGGUAGGAUAGUGGUCAGUUGUUCUGUCAGUGAUAAUACCAGAUGUGAGGGGAGCUGUUAUGUUGGUCCAUAGGUGAUCCAAGGUAGUAGCGGAUGUUUGAGUGAAUCGGGUGGAUUACGGGGGAUGAGCAUACAGGAAUUCAUGCCGUCAAGGAAAUUGUCGACUUGAGGGCCAUUUUGUCGCCCUAGGUCAAUAUUGAAGUCACCCCCUCCCCAGAACUAGGUCAAUAUUGAAGUCACCCCCUCCCCAGAACUAUGUGAUUUUUGUCGAGGUUGUUGUUUAGCUGCAUUCACAGAUAACUUCAGGAAUCUUAUCAUAAACAACAUUUUAUUUAUUGUCUUUAUUGUGGGGUGCACAAUAAAAUAAAUAUAAUGUUGUUUAUGAUAAGAUUCCUCAAGUUAUCUGUGAAUGCAGCUAUGUUAGUAUUGGGAAAUCUAUAAAUGGCUCCAAUAGUCAAGGGGGUUUUAAGGGAUUUAAUUUAAAAUUGAACAAAAGUAAAUUCACAGUAGUCAUCUCUAUCACUAAUGACACUGUUGCAUGUGAAGGUAUCUUGGUAGUAUAUAGGUGUGUCACCUCCUUUUUAAUAAAAAGUAGGUGUAGUAGGUGUAAAAAGUAAAAAUAAAUAAAAGUAGGCGAACCUGUAAAUAGAAGUAAAUGCGUAAUAAGUGUUAACUACUAUAAGUUCCUUAAGAAGAGGAACUUAUAGUACAUGAAACCCCCUUGUAAUAUUGCGUAUAAAUAAAAUAUUUCCAUUAC